rnacentral:tRNA from 1 species
GGAGGGCACAGCUCCGUGGUAGAGCGCGUGCUUAGCAUGCACAAGGUCCUGGGUUCAAUCCCCAGGACCUCCA